GUCUGCAGCCAUACCACCCUGAACGCGCCCGACCUCCUGUGAUCUUGGAAGCUAAGUAGGGUCGGGCCUGAUUAGUACUUGGAUGUAGUACUGGGAAUACCGGGUGCUGUAGGUU
rnacentral:rRNA from 1 species